AUGCAGUCGAGCGGAUGACGGGAGCUUGCUCCCUGAUUUAGCGGCGGACGGGUGAGUAAUGCCUAGGAAUCUGCCUGGUAGUGGGGGAUAACGUCCGGAAACGGGCGCUAAUACCGCGUACGUCCUACGGGAGAAAGCAGGGGACCUUCGGGCCUUGCGCUAUCAGAUGAGCCUAGGUCGGAUUAGCUAGUUGGUGAGGUAAUGGCUCACCAAGGCUACGAUCCGUAACUGGUCUGAGAGGAUGAUCAGUCACACUGGAACUGAGACACGGUCCAGACUCCUACGGGAGGCAGCAGUGGGGAAUAUUGGACAAUGGGCGAAAGCCUGAUCCAGCCAUGCCGCGUGUGUGAAGAAGGUCUUCGGAUUGUAAAGCACUUUAAGUUGGGAGGAAGGGCUGUAGGCUAAUAUCCUGCAGUUUUGACGUUACCGACAGAAUAAGCACCGGCUAACUUCGUGCCAGCAGCCGCGGUAAUACGAAGGGUGCAAGCGUUAAUCGGAAUUACUGGGCGUAAAGCGCGCGUAGGUGGUUCGUUAAGUUGGAUGUGAAAGCCCCGGGCUCAACCUGGGAACUGCAUCCAAAACUGGCGAGCUAGAGUACGGUAGAGGGUAGUGGAAUUUCCUGUGUAGCGGUGAAAUGCGUAGAUAUAGGAAGGAACACCAGUGGCGAAGGCGACUACCUGGACUGAUACUGACACUGAGGUGCGAAAGCGUGGGGGAGCAAACAGGAUUAGAUACGCUGGUAGUCCACGCCGUGAACGAUGUCAACUAGCCGUUGGAAUCCUUG
rnacentral:rRNA from 1 species